rnacentral:rRNA from 1 species
CUACGGGAUGCUCCAGUGGGGAAUAUUGCACAAUGGGGGAAACCCUGAUGCAGCAACGCCGCGUGGAGGAUGACACAUUUCGGUGCGUAAACUCCUUUUAUAGGUCAAGAUAAUGACGGUAGCCUAUGAAUAAGCGCCGGCUAACUCCGUGCCAGCAGCCGCGGUAAUACGGAGGGCGCAAGCGUUACUCGGAAUCACUGGGCGUAAAGAGCAUGUAGGCGGGUUAAUAAGUCAGAAGUGAAAUCCAAUAGCUCAACUAUUGAACUGCUUUUGAAACUGUUAACCUAGAGUGUGGGAGAGGUAGAUGGAAUUUCUGGUGUAGGGGUAAAAUCCGUAGAGAUCAGAAGGAAUACCGAUUGCGAAGGCGAUCUACUGGAACAUUACUGACGCUGAGAUGCGAAAGAGUGGGGAGCAAACAGGAUUAGAUACCCGCGUAGUC